ACUAUGGCUUUUUUAAAAGCCACACUGGUAUGAGAAAAUGCUAAU
rfam:Camelus ferus unplaced genomic scaffold scaffold1170, whole genome shotgun sequence.